rnacentral:rRNA from 1 species
ACUUGUCGCGGCGGGAUCUUCAGAGAUUAGAGUUUGAUCCUGGCUCAGGACGAACGCUGGCGGUGUGCUUCACACAUGCAAGUCGAACGAGGUAGCAAUACCUAGUGGCGGACGGGUGAGUAACGCGUGGGAAUCUGCCUUAAGAUGGGGGAUAACGAGCCGAAAGGCUCGCUAAUACCGCAUAUGCCGAAAGGUGAAAGGAGUAAUCCGUCUUAAGAUGAGCCCGCGUCCGAUUAGCUAGUUGGUAGGGUAAAGGCCUACCAAGGCGACGAUCGGUAGCUGGUCUGAGAGGAUGAUCAGCCACAAUGGGACUGAGACACGGCCCAUACUCCUACGGGAGGCAGCAGUGGGGAAUUUUACGCAAUGGGGGAAACCCUGACGUAGCGACACCGCGUGAGCGAAGAAGCCCCUUGGGGUGUAAAGCUCUGUCAGCUGGAACGAAAAAAAUGACGGUACCAGCAGAGGAAGCAUCGGCUAACUACGUGCCAGCAGCCGCGGUAAGACGUAGGAUGCGAGCGUUGUCCGGAUUUAUUGGGCGUAAAGAGUUCGUAGGUGGUUUGUCAAGUCUGAUGUUAAAGAUCGGGGCUCAACCCUGGGACUGCAUUGGAUACUGGCAGACUUGAGUGUGGUAGAGGCUAGUGGAAUUCCCAGUGUAGCGGUGAAAUGCGUAGAUAUUGGGAAGAACACCGGUGGCGUAGGCGACUAGCUGGGCCAUAACUGACACUGAGGAACGAAAGCCAGGGUAGCGAAUGGGAUUAGAUACCCCAGUAGUCCUGGCCGUAAACGAUGGAUACUAGGCGUAUCGGGUAUCGACCCCUGAUGUGCCGCAGCUAACGCGAUAAGUAUCCCGCCUGAGUAGUACGGCCGCAAGGUUGAAACUCAAAGGAAUUGACGGGGGCCCGCACAAGCGGUGGAACAUGUGGUUUAAUUCGAAGCAACGCGAAGAACCUUACCAGGGCUUGACAUACCAGGAACCUUUCGGAAACGAGAGGGUGCCCGCAAGGGG